rnacentral:pre_miRNA from 1 species
AACCUUAGGGAUCCGUGUCGAGAUUUCGUCAGGAACUAGGCCAUCAGGACUGGUGAGACUUUCAAGACAAGCGAAGUU